rnacentral:rRNA from 1 species
CUGUCUCAAAGAUUAAGCCAUGCAUGUCUCAGUACAAGCCAAAUUAAGGUGAAACCGCGAAAGGCUCAUUAAAUCAGUUAUGGUUCCUUAGAUCGUACACACAUUUACUUGGAUAACUGUGGUAAUUCUAGAGCUAAUACAUGCAUACUGAGCUCCGACCGGAGACGGAAGGAGCGCUUUUAUUAGAUCAAAACCAAUCGGUGCUGGUAUAACCAACAUCGUAUAAUUUGGUGAAUCUGAAUAACUUUAAGCUGAUCGCACGGUCUAGUACCGGCGACGCAUCUUUCAAAUGUCUGCCUUAUCAACUGUCGAUGGUAGGUUCUGCGCCUACCAUGGUUGUAACGGGUAACGGAGAAUCAGGGUUCGAUUCCGGAGAGGGAGCCUGAGAAACGGCUACCACAUCCAAGGAAGGCAGCAGGCGCGCAAAUUACCCACUCCCGGCACGGGGAGGUAGUGACGAAAAAUAACGAUACGGGACUCAUCCGAGGCCCCGUAAUCGGAAUGAGUACACUCUAAAUCCUUUAACGAGGAUCAAUUGGAGGGCAAGUCUGGUGCCAGCAGCCGCGGUAAUUCCAGCUCCAAUAGCGUAUAUUAAAGUUGUUGCGGUUAAAAAGCUCGUAGUCGAACUUGUGUCCCGCGUCGACGGUUCAUCGUUCGCGGUGUUAACUGUCGUGCAGUGGGAUGUCCUGCCGGUGGGUUUAGUUCGCAAGAGCUAACCCGAAUUAAUCCUGCCGCGGUGCUCUUCAUUGAGUGUCGAGGUGGGCCGGCACGUUUACUUUGAACAAAUUAGAGUGCUUAAAGCAGGCUAAAAUUUUGCCUGAAUAUGUGUGCAUGGAAUAAUGGAAUAGGACCUCGGUUCUAUUUUGUUGGUUUUCGGAACCNCCGAGGUAAUGAUUAAUAGGAACGGAUGGGGGCAUUCGUAUUGCGACGUUAGAGGUGAAAUUCUUGGAUCGUCGCAAGACGGACU